rnacentral:rRNA from 1 species
AGGAUCCGAGCGUUAUCCGGACUUAUUGGGUUUAAAGGGAGCGUAGGUGGACUGGUAAGUCAGUUGUGAAAGUUUGCGGCUAAACCGUAAAAUUGCAGUUGAUACUGUCAGUCUUGAGUACAGUAGAGGUGGGCGGAAUUCGUGGUGUAGCGGUGAAAUGCUUAGAUAUCACGAAGAACUCCGAUUGCGAAGGCAGCUCACUGGACUGCAACUGACACUGAUGCUCGAAAGUGUGGGUAUCAAA